GCUUAGACGAGUUCGCAGUUUUGUGAGGGGUGUGUUGGCGAAGAUACGGUGCAGAGAGGUGGAGGCAGGAGUUACUGUGUCAGCAGAGACAGUUGACUUUGAUCCUUGUGUUAUCCAGUGAGAAGAUUUUCAGCUACAUAUGGCGGUAACCUGCAGCUGUGAAAAGAAGGUUCAGCGAUAAAUGGUGGAAACAAGUGAACAGACAGUUCAAUUAUGUAUGGUGGUAACCGUCGAAAAGAUAUUUCAGCUACAUAUGGCGGUAACCUGGGAGAAGAAAGAAGGCCCAGUUGCAUAUGGUGGUAAAGAGUGAAAAGACAAUUCAAUUAUGUAUGAUGGUAACCGUCGAAAAGAUAUUUCAGCUACAUAUGGUGGUAACCUGGGAGAAGAAAGAAGACCCAGUUGCAUAUGGUGGUAAAGAGUGAAAAGACAAUUCAAUUAUGUAUGGUGGUAACCGUCGAAAAGAUAUUUCAGCUACAUAUGGUGGUAACCUGGGAGAAGAAAGAAGACCCAAUUGAAUAUGGUGGUAAAGAGUGAAAAGACAAUGCAAGUAUGUAUGGUGGUAAUGGUAACCAGUGGAAAGGUAUUUUAUUUAUGUAUGGUAGUAGCAAGUGAUAAAUGUAUUUCAGUUAUGUACACGGAGAACUAGUGAAAGGAUAGUUCAGCUAUAUACGGUGGUAAGCGGAGAGAAGAUGCUGCAGUAAUGUAUGGUGGUAGCAAGUGACAAAUCGUGUACAUGGGUGAGCAAUAAAGAAGACAGUUCAGCUACAUAUGCUGGUAAGCAGAGUGAAGAUAUUGCAGUUAUAUAUGGUGGUAGCAAGUGACAACUUAUGUACAUAUGGUGGUAAGCAGAGAGAAGACAUUGCAGUUAUAUAUGGUGGUAGCAAGUGACAACUUAUGUACAUAUGGUGGUAAGCAGAGAGAAGACAUUGCAGUUAUAUAUGGUGGUAGCAAGUGACGACUUAUGUACAUGGUUCAGCAGUGGAAAGACAGUUCAUCUACAUAUGGUGGUAGACAAAGAGAAGACAUUGCAGUCAUAUAUGGUGGUAGCAA
rnacentral:lncRNA from 1 species